GGGGUACGAGAAGGCAGCUACACGGCGACGUGAUGCUAAUCCCCAAAACCUCUCUCAGUUCGGAUUGGAGUCUGCAACCCGACUCCAUGAAGCUGGAUUCGCUAGUAAUCGCGCAUCAGCCACGGCGCGGUGAAUACGUUCCCGGGCCUUGUACACACCGCCCGCCAAGCCAUGAAAGCCGGGGGUACCUGAAGUCCGUAACCGUAAGGAGCGGCCUAGGGUAAAACUGGUAAUUGGGGCUAAGUCGUAACAAGGUAGC
rnacentral:rRNA from 1 species